rnacentral:rRNA from 1 species
CGGUCCGAAAGGAUCGUGCCGCCUUGCGGCCGGCGUACAGGUGCUGCAUGGCUGUCGUCAGCUCGUGCUGUGAAGUGUUGGGUUAAGUCCCGCAACGAGCGCAACCCCUGCUAUCUGUUGCCAGCAAGUAAUGUUGGGGACUCAGAUGGAACUGCCGGGUGACAAACCGGAGGAAGGUGGGGACGGCGUCAAGUCAUCAUGGCCCUUAUGUCCUGGGCUACACACGUGCUACAAUGGCCGGUACAGAGCGCAGCGAAGCCGCGAGGCAAAGCGAAUCGCAAAAAGCCGGUCUCAGUACGGAUUGGAGUCUGAAACCCGACUCCAUGAAGUUGGAAUCGCUAGUAAUCGCGCAUCAGCAUGGCGCGGUGAAUACGUUCCCGGGCCUU